rnacentral:rRNA from 1 species
GAUGAACGCUGGCGGCGUGCUUAACACAUGCAAGUCGAACGGAAAGGCCCAAGCUUGCUUGGGUACUCGAGUGGCGAACGGGUGAGUAACACGUGGGUGAUCUGCCCCGCACUUCGGGAUAAGCCUGGGAAACUGGGUCUAAUACCGGAUAGGACAGUGGUUUGGAUGCCAUUGUGGAAAGUUUUUUCGGUGUGGGAUGAGCUCGCGGCCUAUCAGCUUGUUGGUGGGGUAAUGGCCUACCAAGGCGUCGACGGGUAGCCGGCCUGAGAGGGUGUACGGCCACAUUGGGACUGAGAUACGGCCCAGACUCCUACGGGAGGCAGCAGUGGGGAAUAUUGCACAAUGGGCGCAAGCCUGAUGCAGCGACGCCGCGUGGGGGAUGACGGCCUUCGGGUUGUAAACUCCUUUCGCUAGGGACGAAGCGUUAUGUGACGGUGCCUAGAGAAGAAGCACCGGCUAACUACGUG